GUCCACGCCCUAAACUAUGUCAACUGGUUGUCGGGGGAUUAAUUCCCUUGGUAACGAAGCUAACGCGUGAAGUUGACCGCCUGGGGAGUACGGCCGCAAGGUUAAAACUCAAAGGAAUUGACGGGGACCCGCACAAGCGGUGGAUUAUGUGGAUUAAUUCGAUGCAACGCGAAAAACCUUACCUACCCUUGACAUGCUAGGAAGCUCGCAGAGAUGUGAGUGUGCCCGAAAGGGAACCUAGACACAGGUGCUGCAUGGCUGUCGU
rnacentral:rRNA from 1 species